AAUGACGUGCUUGAUUAAAAGGCUACCUUGAUAGGGUAGAUAAAGGAAUUUCUUUCCCGCCAUUA
rnacentral:tRNA from 1 species